rnacentral:lncRNA from 1 species
AGUAGUAAACCAUAUUUGGCCGAAUCUAAUAUUUCCGAUUUCUCGUGUAUUUUCCGGCUAUUUUCAGUCAGAAUACCAAGGGAUAGACGCGGUUGAAAGGGGAAUCGAACAAGACCAAAAUUGUUUGUUUAUGAUAAUAUAAAGACGCAGCAGCCUAGAAAUUCAAUUUGCAAUAGCUUCAUAUUUUUUAUCUUUUAAAUCUGAUCUCCUUUUACCAAAGUUCGAUUGCUGCAUAGUCGAAGUUGCUGUUCGAGGUGUGUCCUGAGGUUCCGAUUCGGGUUCGCGGCUCCGAGCUCAAGUGUCGCCGAGAAUUCUGGGCAAGAAUUGUCGGGUUCUCUUGUGAUUACAAUUUGGUUGAUUUAUAUAAAAGGUCCGUUCAUUUCCGUUCCGCUCAUUUUAGCUGAUGAAUCUUAUCUGUUCUUUAAUAAUUGAUUUGCUCGUUUAGUUUGAAAUAGAAUUGUAAUUAUGGAGAUGAUGUUAGGUUGAUUGGUUUGUUUAAGAAACUCUUUCAUUUGAUUCUUGCACAUUAUGCAGAAAUUCUGAUUAUUUGUAUGUUUUCUUGUUUUGAAUUAGUUAUUUUAUUAUUUUAUUUUUAUUUUUUUUUAAAUUUUAAUUUGAGAUAUGAGUAUUCUAUUAUUUUUGCUAUGAAAUAGGAUUUGGUUGGGUAAGAUUUUGACAACUAAUAAAAAAAUGAGUUGUUAGAUGGUCAUAUAGUGAAUUGAGUAAUUCGGUAUAAGCAUUUGAAAUGUCACGGUUUCUUGAUUUGAGAUUCAUUUGAUUUCUUUUGCAUGAAAAUAGAACUGUGUGCCUAUAUUGUUCAUUAUUUAACGAG